UGCAAGAGCACUCUGUGUUAUCAUUCGAUUGUGAUAAAACAAUUUGUAAUCUUGCUAUAGAAAAGCAAAAUUUGCUUUACACUUCUGAAACUGCUCCCUUGUUUCAAAAGUGAUCCAAUUUUGCAACAGU